rnacentral:rRNA from 1 species
UGCCAGCCGCCGCGGUAAUACGGAGGGGGCUAGCGUUGUUCGGAAUUACUGGGCGUAAAGCGCGCGUAGGCGGAUUGUUAAGUCGGGUGUGAAAUCCCAGGGCUCAACCCUGGAACUGCCUCCGAUACUGGUAGUCUUGAGGUCGAGAGAGGUGAGUGGAAUUCCGAGUGUAGAGGUGAAAUUCGUAGAUAUUCGGAGGAACACCAGUGGCGAAGGCGGCUCACUGGCUCGAUACUGACGCUGAGGUACGAAAGUGUGGGGAGCAAACAGGAUUAGAUA